UUCCUAAACUUCAUUAAAUUCAAACAAAAUGAAGAUCUUCGCUUGUGUGAUUGCUGCUCUCCUCCUUUCGUCAGCUAACGCCUACAGAGGACCUAUGUCUUCUCACACCGAUGUCAGAGAUGACAAAAAAUAGAGAUAUAGCUAAAUCGUAUAUCCCUGAUGGAAUAAUAGAACGAAUACGAUGAAAUAAAUUCCUUUUUGAAGUAUUUGAAAAUGGGUUAUUGUGGAAUAUCAAUUCACGUUCCUCCCAGACUUAAAUUACGUAUAGAAUACAGAAUAUGUGGUAUAUACGGUAUAAGAAGCAAGAACGGAACGCGUGCUGGUCUCAGUUUAUGCACAUUUGGUUUAAGUUGCUUUAGAUUUUGAUCUAUGAAAGACUAUCCAGACUGCUUUGGAUUUAGAAGGUUUGCUACGGCCCAGCCAUUAGAUCAGAUGGGUACACAACUUUCUCAUAGUUUGCUUUAAGACUGUAAAUAUUGCUGACGAAGCAAGAGAAUGUCUUAUCGGUCCUACUUUGGCCUGCAGAACGGUCCAGCUUUAAAAAGGGUUUGUGGUUACUCGAGAGCUGGAAAAUAUUUUAGAAGAGGCAUUGUAUAGCGCGGAGAACAUCAAAUGUAGUGUUUAAUACCCUAUAGGCUUCGGAUUGAAUUAAAUGAUUCUCAUUUUAUCUCGUGAGUUUCAGUAAUCAAAUCAAAUUCAUUUGGCGUGUCCCUAAAAAUCCAGAAAAGUGAUUUCCAUGAACCGUGUACCCAAAGGAUACGAGCUCUCCAUAGAAGUGGUUAGGUAAUGCAUACUAUUUCACGGCUUGCGUAACAAAUUGGAUAAUUUGUUUAAAAGAAAUAUGAAUGGAAUGCGUUCCUAAUGCAUUUAAAAUUGUGUUUUCCGAAUGAAUUCUUACCACUUCUUCUUGACAACUGAAGAGAUUUAUUUGCUGAAAAGCUAAAUGAAUUAGAUAAGCCUAUUAUUCCGUGCCAUUUAGUCUGCAGCGGAUGGCUAUAUAAACUCUAACUGAUUCCUAAACUUCAUUAAAUUCAAACAAAAUGAAGAUCUUCGCUUGUGUGAUCGCUGCUCUCCUCCUGUCGUCAGCUAACGCCUACAGAGGACCCAUGUCUUCUCACACCGAUGUCAGAGAUGACAAAAAAUAGAAAUAUAGCUAAACCGUAUUUCCCUGAUGGAAUAGUAGAACGAAUACGAUGAAAUAAAUUCCUUUUUGAAUUAUUUGAAAA